UACGGAGGGUGCGAGCGUUGUCCGGAAUCACUGGGCGUAAAGGGUGCGCAGGCGGCCAAGUGUGUGAGGCGUGAAAGCCCGGGGCUCAACCCCGGAAUUGCACCUCAAACUACAUGGCUAGAGCAUUGGAGAGGGUAGCAGAAUUCAUGGUGUAGCAGUGAAAUGCGUAGAUAUCAUGAGGAAUACCAGAGGCGAAGGCGGCUACCUGGACAAUUGCUGACGCUCAGGCACGAAAGCGUGGGGAGCAAAAGGG
rnacentral:rRNA from 1 species